UCUCUUGUCUAUAAAAGAUGACGUGGCUAAUGAGUGCUUUCCGCAUACUACAUACUUUGUCACACUUUUAGAAAGCGAGAUGUCACACAGUAAACCGUUACAAAAUCGUUAAGGCUCUUUUCUUUUCAUGCAUGCAGUGACGCAGACGGCAUUUCACACCGAGUGGGAAUUCCCUCCUUUACAAGUUGUAGAUUAUAAACUGUUUGACGAAUGUUUCAUUCUCGCUUAUACUAUCGCAAAGCGAUAGCCAGGGCCGAACUUCAUAUUAUUUGGGAUCUAGCGCUGAAGGAGUGAGUUAAGUUUGAUUUAGUGCUGUUUAGUAUACUAUUCUUAUAUUCUAUUCCUAGUCCUUCGAGUGUUUCUAUUAAAUAAGAUAUCUGUUCAUAUGUAAGGUGCAUGCAAUUUCGUACACUUUGUAUGCUACAUACAAACCUAAUAAAGAUAUAUAACGAAAAAUGCCCUCUGAACACAUAAUGCUAAACAAGGCAAUAACAUGCCCACAAUAAAUCCGGUUCUGAUGAUAACGUAGUUUUGUGUCUGUCUGGUAGUAAGGCGAAGAGCUGCUCUCAGAAUGAUAACCUUCAGUUGUGGUUUCUUUUCCGCUGAUGUUAGUCGCUUCACGUUCAUAUUCCGUUGCAACAAGUCAAGAAAGAUGGAAUCGCUGAGGUUUAUAUUUUUGUUAACAACUAUGGCGUUGCUUGCAUGGAUCGGAACGGCUAGCGCGGCACAAGGUGAUACGUUCGAAAGCAUUUCAAACAUGAACAGCAGAAUUAGGAUGCUUCCCGUUCGUCACAUCCAGGCGUAUGAUGCAAUGAAUAAUGAAUGGCGUUAUGUGAUGUUCAGGAUCUCCCAUCCGCAUGCAGUAGAUACGCCAACGAAUGGCCCAUAUGACAGCACCGCCAGAGAUGAAAGAAUGACCGCGAAAUGGAUUAAAGCGUUUGAUCCUACAACUGGUUCUUGGACUGAACAGGCGUUUUACAUCUAAUCUUUUAUAUAAUUAGACAAAUUAAGGAAAAAAUAAUCAAAUGACAAAUGUGCAAGACUCAACGACCAA